rfam:Isaria fumosorosea ARSEF 2679 scaffold_22, whole genome shotgun sequence.
GGUCGCGUGGCCAAAUGGCAAGGCGUCUGGCUACGAACCAGAAGAUUGUGGGUUCGAUCCCCACCGUGACCU